AUGCCGAAGCGGCAUGGACUCGCCACCGUGGCCUCACUCGUCGCAUGGUCCCUCUGGCGGCACCGGAACGCUGUCAUCUUCGACAAUAUUGCGCCCUCCCUGUCAUUGCUAAUUGUCGCAAUCAAGGAUGAAGCUCGCUCUUGGGCCAUGGCUGGAGCUAGAGGAAUGAACUCAGGGCUAGCUGUAACCUGA
rnacentral:rRNA from 1 species